rnacentral:rRNA from 1 species
UGGUAUGGGAUGAGCUUGCGUCCGAUUAGCUAGUUGGCGGGGCAACGGCCCACCAAGGCGACGAUCGGUAGCCGGCCUGAGAGGGUGAUCGGCCACAUUGGGACUGAGAUACGGCCCAGACUCCUACGGGAGGCAGCAGUAGGGAAUAUUGCACAAUGGGGGAAACCCUGAUGCAGCAACGCCACGUGUGGGAAGAAGCAUUUCGGUGUGUAAACCACUGUCAUGAGGGAAUAAGGCCCACUUUCGGAUAGGAUUGAAUGUACCUUGAGAGGAAGCACCGGCAAACUUCGUGCCAGCAGCCGCGGUAAUACGAGGGGUGCAAGCG